rnacentral:rRNA from 1 species
GACGAACGCUGGCGGCGUGCUUAACACAUGCCAGUCGAACGGUGAAGCGCCUUCCUUUUUGGUGGGUGUGGAUGAGUGGCGAACGGGUGAGUAACACGUGAGUAACCUGCCCCCUUCUUCUGGAUAACCGCAUGAAAGUGUGGCUAAUACGGGAUAUUCUGGGUCUGUCGCAUGAUGGGUCUGGGAAAGAUAUUGUUUCGGUGGGGGAUGGGCUCGCGGCCUAUCAGCUUGUUGGUGGGGUGAUGGCCUACCAAGGCGGUGACGGGUAGCUGGCCUGAGAGGGUGGACGGUCACACUGGGACUGAGACACGGCCCAGACUCCUACGGGAGGCAGCAGUGGGGAAUAGUGCACAAUGGGCGCAAGCCUGAUGCAGCGACGCCGCGUGAGGGAUGGAGGCCUUCGGGUUGUGAACCUCUUUCGCCAGUGAAGCAGGCCUGCCUCGUUUGUGGGUGGGUUGACGGUAGCUGGAUAAGAAGCGCCGGCUAACUACGUG